UACAUUUUGAAUGGUCAGCCCCUAAGGUUUAAAAAUCCCUGUUAGAACAUUCUGCCAGGUAUUCAUCAGUCUUCAUCAUUGACUUGUCUGUAGUCAGAAGAUAGCUGUGCAGCAUGGACCUCAGUACAUUUUGUCAAUCCUUGGUGGUUCAUUGAAUACAACUGGUGAUCCUAUAGCAUCUAAUGUUAGACCCGGAUAUCUAAGCCUACUUUUGCAUGGUGAUAUACUUGACAAGGCAGAGGGUGAUUGUGCUUCUGAAGCCACGAGACCGGUUCUAUCUGAUGAUAAUCAGGUCAUCAGAGACUCCGACACAACAGAGUCCAUUCUGCCUGGCGAACACGAAUUGGAUAUACCGAUCGGGGUGUCUGAAGUGGAGGACACAUCGAGUAGGCCUACC